rnacentral:tRNA from 1 species
GGAGUUGUGGCCCAGUAGUAGAGCACUUGCCUAGCAUGCAUGAGGCACUGGGUUCGAUUCUCAGCACCA